CACCUUAUUUUUCACGACAACAAGGGCGGCGCCAUUUCGCUCAUUUUGUCAACGUUCUUCCGGCCGCAUAGACGAUGAGCAGCUGAGGCAGUGACUGAAGGCGACGUGUUAAGCUUAAAAAGCUCACUCGAGCGCCUUUAUGUUUCUUUCUUACCAAUUUUAAGCCAACUGAGGAACACCCUUAUCCCAAUUAAUGGUUCGACUACGAUGUUCCGGUAACUUUAAACCACGCCGGGUGUUGAAAAGGUGGCCAGUUUCAGAUGCAUUGAUGUUUAGUGAUGCAGUGGACAACUGUGAGGAUGAUACAAUCAACAUGUUCCUAAACUGUGAUGCAGAAACACAAUGGGAGCAUCUAUCCAUCUCUGAACACAACUACACUCUAAAAUCACAACUCAACCUGAAGCAACCUACAUCUGAUAUGGGAAAACACUGGUGCGGUUUCCCGGACAGGGCUUAUCCUGGUCCCAGGCUAAAAUGCAUAUUUGAGCUACAAUAAUUUAAAAACACCUUUUACUGACAUACCUCAACAUAUAUGAGUGCCAUUGUUUUGUCACAAGAGCUGGCACAAAUGUACAUAUCUCUACUGAGAAACAACCAUCUUUGUCAGCUUUAAACAGGGUUGAUAUUGCAUCCAUUACACAGUCGCCAAGCACUUUACCAGUACAUACACCAACAGCUUCCAGAUAUACGCUUGGGAUCAGCUCCUGAUGACUCCGAUAAAGCUGUGUCUUAAUUUAUUGCAGGGUGGUCUUGCUUUACCUGUUGUAAAGUUACAUUAAACCUUCAUAUGUGAUCAGAUGUCAUGCAGUGAUAUUAAACAUUUACAGUGUGAUCAGAUGUUGUGCAUUUUAAUUAAACCUUUACAGUGUGA